rnacentral:rRNA from 1 species
UACGGAGGGGGCUAGCGUUGUUCGGAAUUAUUGGGCGUAAAGCGCGCGUAGGCGGUUACUUAAGUCGGAUGUGAAAGCCCUCGGCUUAACUGAGGAAGUGCACCCGAAACUGAGUAGCUAGAGUACGAAAGAGGGUCGCGGAAUUCCCGGUGUAGAGGUGAAAUUCGUAGAUAUCGGGAGGAACACCGGUGGCGAAGGCGGCGACCUGGGUCGAGACUGACGCUGAGGCGCGAAAGCGUGGGGAGCAAACAGG